AUAGAAGAAUGUAGAUAAGGGAAGUCGGCAAAAUAGAUCCGUAACUUCGGGAAAAGGAUUGGCUCUGAGGGUUGGGCCUAGGGGUCUUUUUGGAGAACUUGUGGCGGCCUACGUUGGGCUGCGUCUGGACCUUUCGGGGACCGGAUGCGGCCUGGCGGUCGGGCUGCUCUUGUUGUGCCGGAGAGAAAGGUAGUUGGCUUUCGGCCUGGCUGCUGUUUCCUUAGUGCGUUGAACAACCGGCUCAGAACUGGAGCGGACAAGGGGAAUCCGACUGUUUAAUUAAAACAAAGCAUUGUGAUGGCCGGAGACGGUGUUGACACAAUGUGAUUUCUGCCCAGUGCUCUGAAUGUCAAAGUGAAGAGAUUCAACCAAGCGCGGGUAAACGGCGGGAGUAACUAUGACUCUCUUAAGGUAGCCAAAUGCCUCGUCAUCUCCCUCGUGACGCGCAUGAAUGGAUUAAUGAGAUCCCCACUGUCCCUAUCUACUGUCUAGCGAACCCACAGCCAAGGGAACGGGCUUGGAAUAAUCAGCGGGGAAAGAAGACCCUGUUGAGCUUGACUCUAGUCUGACGUUGUGAAAUGACUUGGGAGGUGUAGAAUAAGUGGGAGGCUCUGCCGUCUGUNNNNNNNNNNNNNNNNNNNNNNNNNNNNNNNNNNNNNNNNNNNNNNNNNNNNNNNNNNNNNNNNNNNNNNNNNNNNNNNNNNNNNNNNNNNNNNNNNNNNCGUACUGCCUUUUAAAACCUGGUCCGUCGUAUUAUUCACCAUCGCCUGUUUGUUUCGCAGCACGCUUUAAAACUUUUACGACUUCACCCACGAACGACCUCGUGAAUCUCCCACGCGAAUUUACCGCAAUAUAUUCUACAACAGGAAACCAAUCCACAGCCGCCUCCCAGACCUCUUGAUCUCGCUGAUCCUUUGGAUCGAACACAAAUCGAUAGGGAGGAAAUUUGGGAACAAUGGACAUCCACAUGUGCUUUCCCGUGGAGCUGCCUGUUGCUUGCGUAACCAGAUUGCUUAUUUUUGAAUCCGUUCCCACUAUAAUCACCCCCCCAAACCACCAGUGCGGAAGAUAUUGCGUUGAAAAGCUGCCACACUCUUUCCUCACACAGAUGUCCUGGCGUUGGGUGUCAUUUCAUCUCAAUAUGAAAAGGGCAACUCGCUUUCCGUUCUCCUCCUUCAUCUUUUUUACCUCGCUUAUAUACAUCUCUGAGACCGUGCGCAUUUCUACGCCGAAAUUCGAUUUCUCGCUCGAGUGUAUCAUUUGUGCGCUCUGAUGCUUGGAGUACUUCAGCAGCAGAAAUAAAACACACGUCCACAGGUCCACGGUCUGGUAAAUCCCUGAUUGGCAGUUCAAAAUGUCCUCCAUCGGCUUGGCGACUGGGUCAUCCAUUUCCACAACCUUGCGAAAUGCCUCCGAUAUCAACUUGAAAUUCCUGUACAUGGCCUGUGACGCGUCAGUUACCCUGGUGGCAUGCCAGUAAAACCACGGUCGUGAGCCUUGCAGCGUGAACGCGAGCUGCGAUUUUCCCAUGCCAGACGACCCUUCAACACAAAUAAAUGGAAGCGGGAGAUCAUUCAUGUCAUAGAGAUCGUCUAUUUUGUCCAGCACCUCACAGCAAUAAUCACUGCACUCUUUACGAAUGCUAGCCCCGCACUUUUGAUAGUAGUCCAGCUCUUUCAUGGGUUUACUUCCAACGGUUUCUACAAUGACGAUCGUGACAGUGCUCGCAACUUAACCCGGAACUACUACCAGCAAGUUCACAGGGCCCCUCCCUUCUACUUCUUCGUCUUCAUCCACUCCACCGACAUCCACAUCCGACAACCCCACACGUCGUAGCCUCGCUCGUACGAGCCGAUGGAUUCUGGAAUGAGAGAAUUUCUUGUUGCACCCGUACCUAAGCGGGAAAAGAAGGUGAUGUCACAGAAGGGGCCUAUUUAGUGAGUCACUCAAAAAACAAAUUUCAUGUUAUUUCGACCUCAUUUUGUAAGAGCAAAACGCGAAUUUGGUCAAAAAUUCACAAUAGCUUUUUUGCGCGCUUCGCGUGUGCGCUGGUAGUAGCGCUUCUGCGCUGUUCAUGCACUCUUGGUAUUGCUCAGGUGACGUUACCUCCAUCUUUGUUAAUUAUUAAUUUUAUACCGUAGUAUUUAUCCGGAUAGAAACGCUAAAACGCUGAUAGAUUUAGGCAAGCAUUGGCACAUACAACACAGCGAUAAAAGUUCAUUCACAAUAGUGCCUCGAAGCGACGAGCUACGUAUACAUGUAAGAGUACAUAGGCAUCGACUGGACUAACUGUCGCGCAUAAUCCAUCCGCCUCGCCAUGAGAAACUCUGGUUCCACCACAUCUGCCAUCAACUCGUAUCGUUCCAUCAUCUCCUAUGCACGAGCAUCAACCGGCUGGGGCAAGAAGUCAUCAACCUUGAUUGUCUUGAAAGAUCCAGGCAUGAAUGACGGAGGAGGUGGGGCAGACUCCGUUCGUCUCAGUACAGCUGCCUCGAUAAAUCUGAACGCGUUCUUCGGAUACUUCAACGUAAGUUGGGUCAGAACGUGCUUGUCGCUGAACCAAGAGAAAUGCCAGUGGUCGUUUAAAUCCGUCAACAAACUCAGCGGAUAGCAAUUGAGAGGCGCCUUCAUGCUGCAGCUCACAAGUUGACCAAUUGCUUGAGGAACAUGGCCCGGUUCGACUUUCUUCUUGAGCUCGAUCACCAAGCUGACCCCAGCCAGCUUAAUCAGUGACCCACGCUAGAGGAUGUCGAGUCGAUGAACACACCUGUUCACGUGCUGGUGGCGUUGCCUCCUGGGACAAGUAGUGCGCCUAUUUCUGAUGGGACGGACUUAUGGCUGUCGAGAUUUCAACAUAGUGAAGUUGCAAAACUUACGCUACUGCCGACACGCGGAGAUCUAAAUGAAUUUAUCGGACAACCUCUCCCUGUAAAGAUUGGGUUACCGCAGUCUGUGUUUCAAGCUUGGUCGAGUCCAUUGAUACUAGGCCAACUCCUUCGAGAUAAAUUGUUCGAGCUAAACGACAUUUCGCCGUGCGAAUUUUUAAAAGAUUCGGUGUUUAGCGCUGCGUUCCUGUACCCGCAGGUGGAUGGGGAUGCCACAGAGAGUGCAUUUCAUUAUUUCUGGGAUUCAAUUAUCCGUGUGGUGCUCGGGUUUGUGUUUAGGCGUGCUUACAUCAACCGGGAUUCGAGCAGGAAAUCCUCGUCAGGUUUGAAGCGACCCGACUUUUUGUUUGCUUUGGAUCAUAUCUGUGUUUUUCGUGGUGAGGAGAAAGAACCUCGUACUUCUAUCACUGUGCCUCGUGAGGAGCUCUCUAAAACGCUGGUGUGGUCCUACGGUGGAGUGCCGUAUGUGUUUGGCUAUGCUGCGUCGGGCUUCGAGCUAGAAUUAUUUGCUAUCUAUCAAGACGUCACGGGCAACGUUAAAACCCACCUUAUUGGAAGGGUUUAACUUUGCAGCAUGCGCCGGAACGGUUUUCGACUUGUACUGGCACUUUCUUGAAUUUGUGUCUGCUUUUUCCCGGCAAUUGUGCAAAACUUGUCCAGGCCUUCAGCAGGGACCGAAGUUCAUGGACAUCCAUUCGUGCCAAUGGCGGACAAGGGAGGGUUUGAGUCCGAUUUUCGGUCGAUAGAACUUUUCAUACUCCAAGAGAGAUAUCCGGCGCGUGAAGCAAAUUUACCGAAUUCUUUGGAAGCCUUUUGGGAGUUCAUAUGUCGCGAUGUAUGUUCUUCAGAGUGAUUACGAACCAUAUGAGGUUGACACUUAAACCCCUCUGAGAUUUUAAAUUAAANNNNNNNNNNNNNNNNNNNNNNNNNNNNNNNNNNNNNNNNNNNNNNNNNNNNNNNNNNNNNNNNNNNNNNNNNNNNNNNNNNNNNNNNNNNNNNNNNNNNAGCAAGAUGGACCCAUGUCUCUACUUUCGUCACUACAAUAGCAAGCUGACCUUGCUGGGUCUCUAUGUGGACGAUGUGAUUAUCGUCAGUGAAGUUGAUGCUGAUAGUGACUGGGUAAUGCGACAACUCGGCAUCAAGUUAAUCCAACCCAGUACGAGAGGAACCGUUGGUUCAGAUAAUUGGUAACUGCGGUUAGCUGAAAAGCUAGUGCCGCCAAGCUACCAUCUGUAGGAUUAUGGCUGAACGCCUCUAAGUCAGAAUCCAUGCUGGAAUAGACGAUAAUCACCUUUCCCGAUGUGCCGCGAAUAGCGAUAGGUGUCUUCUGGACACCCAACAUCAUACAAUUGCAACGCACUCCGCUGCCUGUCAAGUACGGGCGGUGGAGAGUAGGCUGAUUUGUAAUUUCAAAUAUUGGGAAAGAUAAAUCCUUUGUAGACGACUUAACUACAGAACGGGGUGUUGUAAGCAUGAGAGUAGUCUUGUACUACGAUCUGCUGAGAUUUAGCCCUUGUUCUAUUGAUUU
rnacentral:ncRNA from 1 species